AGGAAACCAUGCUUCUCUGGCCUACAUUCCCUUGCUUGGAAGUGUGUUGAAGUUACUCAAAUCAGUAUGGCACCCCCUUUGGUUAACGGAAUUCCAGGGUUCCAUUGAACAGGUUAGGGGUAAGGGAAUGGAACCCAAGGAGGUUCUAAGAGGACGGUGGCCCCACCUGGAAAGCGUGUAGAAGGGUUUCACCAAGGAAGUGAGCAUUAGAGAAAUUGCAAGUGUAAGGUAGAGAGAGAAGCUGGCGUCUGAGAUGGAAAGUGUUUCUGCCAUAAGGGCUGUCAGGAGUGGAAGCACAUGAGAAAGCCCAAGCACAAAACUACAAGAGCCGCCGAGAAGGAGCCCAGGGAGGCACUGAUCAAAAGGGAAGGGAGGUGUGAGAUGAAACAAGAACAGGAGGCACAGGCUGGCAGAAGCAGGGAAGUGACACAUGGAAGAAUCGGGAGGUCAAGUCCCUGAAUUUGAAUUUAUUUCGAAUGGAUUGAAGAAAAAGAGCAGAGGCGAACGUGGAAACAAAGGAUGUUACACAAGUGCAUAUUAAUAUUGGUGCCAGUGUCCAAACCCAGCAAUUGGAACCUAUUGCAGUCCCAACAGAAUUGAAGACUGGUUGAAG